rnacentral:rRNA from 1 species
UACGUAGGGUGCAAGCGUUAAUCGGAAUUACUGGGCGUAAAGCGUGCGCAGGCGGUUUUGUAAGACAGGCGUGAAAUCCCCGGGCUUAACCUGGGAAUGGCGCUUGUGACUGCAAAGCUGGAGUGCGGCAGAGGGGGAUGGAAUUCCGCGUGUAGCAGUGAAAUGCGUAGAUAUGCGGAGGAACACCGAUGGCGGAGGCAAUCCCCUGGGCCUGCACUGACGCUCAUGCACGAAAGCGUGGGGAGCAAACAGG